CAGUAGCCACGGUAAUACGUAGGUGGCAAGCGUUGUCCGGAUUUAUUGGGCGUAAAGCGAGCGCAGGCGGUUUCUUAAGUCUGAUGUGAAAGCCCCCGGCUCAACCGGGGAGGGUCAUUGGAAACUGGGAGACUUGAGUGCAGAAGAGGAGAGUGGAAUUCCAUGUGUAGCGGUGAAAUGCGUAGAUAUAUGGAGGAACACCAGUGGCGAAGGCGGCUCUCUGGUCUGUAACUGACGCUGAGGCUCGAAAGCGUGGGGAGCGAACAGGAUUAGAUACCCGUGUAGUCCCUGUCUCUUAUAC
rnacentral:rRNA from 1 species